rnacentral:lncRNA from 1 species
AUGGAGAGCUCCAAUGGCUCCGACACCAAACCGCAGAGCCAUCAUCCUCAGGUGGAGAAGAAGAGGUUAAACCGCGCGCCGUCCCCUGCCAGACCCGUCCUCAAGGAUGUCCACUCGCGGACGGCCAAACCGAUCGUGCCAAAAUCGCCCAAAUUCAACAAGCAGCAAGCGCCGGUGACGCCUCAGAGCCGCGUCCCGAGACGCACCGUCCCGGGCGCGAAGGACAAAACCGCAUCAGCACCUGCAAAAAGCAACACCAAGCCCGCCUCAGCGACAAAAAAGCCCGUUAAGGUCACUCAGCAUGCAGCAUCCGAACCCAAACCGGCCGGUAAGGCUGCGGAGUCCGCCGCUCCGCAGAUCACCAAGAGCAAGGGGAGACCUGCCCCCAUACGCGUGCCCACCGGACGCGGCGUCUGUCAGACCGACAGCAGCUCGGAUUUGUCUGACUGUCCUUCCGAGCCGCUGUCCGACGAGCAGAGGCUGGUCCAGGCCGCCAGCAGCGACGCGGAGUCGGGCAGCGGCUCGGGUUCGAGUGAGCAGGCGGCUGCAGGAUCACGGACUGCACCUGCUCCUGCUCCCGUUGCGCGCGCGGACAAACGCAAAGAUAAUAAAGACGCACAGUUUAAACCCGACGGCAAGGAGAUGGAGACGGAGAUGGCCCAGGACGAGCUGCUAAGGGAGAUCGAAGACCUGCGAUCGGAAAAUGACUACCUCAAGGAUGAAGUGGAUGAGCUGCGAGCAGAGAUGGAGGAGAUCCGGGACAGUUACCUGGAAGAGGAGGUGUACCAGCUGCAAGAUCUGCGCCGGGAACUGGACCGCUCCAACAAAAACUGCCGGAUCCUCCAGUACCGCCUGCGCAAGGCUGAACAGAAGAGCCUGCGUGUAGCACAGACCGGACAUGUGGACGGAGAGCUUCUGCGCGGCCUGGAGCAGGACCUCAAGGUGGCCAAAGAUGUAUCGGUGCGUCUGCACAAUGAACUAGAAACGGUGGAAGACAAGCGAACGCGGGCGGAAGAUGAAAACGAGCUGCUCAGGCAAAAGAUCAUCGAAAUCGAGAUCUCCAAACAGGCCCUGCAUAAUGAGCUGGAGAGAGCCAAAGAGGUACUGUACCACAGAUCACUGUAUUCGAGCAAAAACUUGUUUUUGUGGUAGUAGUGUUGCUAUUCUAGAUGCUGUGGUGUUAUAUUUAUAGCCAUUGCAGGAGCUUUCUGGGUUAUUCACAGAUGUGUUGUCAACAGUUGUGUUUAUAACUGUAUAUUCUGUUAUAACUGCUGAUUGCAUCUUAUGAUACUGAUAUUGGUCAAUUGCAUUCAUGACUAUCCUGUUUUUUUUUAACUCGUUUGCAUGUAAAGAAGAGUUUUUUAAUUUACCGGUAAAGUCGUUCCGGAAAUUUUUCUGGAUAUUUACCGCUAUCACUGUGUGAAAGGGGCUAUUGUCUCAUUCUUCCUGCAAACAAGUCUUAGGGCUCCAUUUUAGUGAUCUAGGUGCAAAGUCUGUUUCAUUGUCACAUUCUCUAUUAGAGACAGGUCUGGACUGUAGGUAGGCCAGUCAGCGUUAAUGGUGCCAUCACAGAAGUUACCUUUGCAAGUUAUAUUAAAUUAUUUUACUCAAAAUUAUUUCACUCUUUUCAUGCAGCGGCAAAUUAUUUUGGUGAUAAUCUCCAAAUGUAAAUAACCCAGAAUAUUAUUUGAAGGCAUCAAAGACAAACCCAAUAAUGACCCACAAACGUGCUGCAUCACUUCUGUUGAAUAAGACGGUUAAAGCGGGACGGCCCGAGGGUUGAGACGCUCCCACCGUGAGUGUGCUGCUUUGAAGUAUGGAUGAAUGCAUUAACUUUGAAGCCUGCUGCCGUGUGCAUUAAUGCAUGACAGGCCGUUCGCUGCUUCAGUAAUCGGAUGCUGAGGAGUUACUCUGGAGUCGCUCAGGUUAAUCGAGAGUAAUCUGGAAAGAUUGAGUCACGGCUGUGUGGAGGAGAAGAACACUGAGUGUGGGGUGUCUUCAAAUAUGGGGUUGCUUGGGGGUUCUAUCUAUCCAUCUAUCUAUCCAUGCGUCAUGCAAUCUAUUAAUCCAUCCAUCCAUCAAUCAUUCUAUUAUUUUUAGUAUUGUUCUAUCUAUCUAUCUAUCUAUCUAUCUAUCUAUCUAUCUAUCUAUCUAUCUAUCUAUCUAUCUAUCUAUCUAUCUAUCUAUCUAUCUAUCUAUCUAUCUAUCUAUCUAUCUAUCUAUCUAUCUAUCUAUCCAUCAUUCUAUAAUAUCUAUUUAUCUAUUAUUCUAUCAUUCUAUUAUAAUAUCGUUCUAUCUAUUCAUCUGUCAAUCUGUCAUUCUAUCCAUCAAUCCAUCCAUCCAUCCAUCCAUCCAUCCAUCAUCCAUUCAUCAAAUUAUUUAUCAUUCUAUUAUUCUAUAUAUUGUUCUAUUGUUCUAUUUAUUGUUCUUUCAUUCUUUCUAUCAUUCUGUUGUGUUAUCUAUCUAUCUCUCCUAUCAUUCUAUCUAUCUAUCUAUCAUUCUACAGUAUUAUCUUUCAAUCUAUCGUUCUGUCUAUAAUUCUAUGUAUCUAUCGUUCUAUGUAUCCAUCCAUCCAUCCAUCCAUCCAUCCAUCAAUCUAUCUGUCAUUCUAUCCAUCUGCCAUCGUUCUAUCCUUCCAUCAUUCUAUUCAUCCACCGAUCCAUACAUCAUUCUAAAGUAUCUAUCCAUCUAUUGUUCUAUCAUUCAAUUAUACUAUCAUUCUAUCUAUCCAUCUAUCCGUCAUUCUAUUAAUCCAUCCAUUCAUCCAACUAUACAUACAUCCAUCCAUCGUUCUAUUUAUCGUUCUAUUAUUCUAUGUAUGUUCUAUGCUUCAUUCUAUUUAUCCUUUUACUGUUCUAUUUAUUGUUCUUUCAUUCUUCUUAUCAUUCUGUUGUAUGUUUUUAUCUAUCUAUCCUUUUAUCAUUCUAUCUAUUCUAUCAUUCUACAGUAUUAUCUUUAAAUCUAUCGUUCUAUCUGUCUGUCUGUCUAUUAUUCUAUCUAUCGAUUGUUCUAUCCAUCCAUCCAUCAAUCUAUCAAUCUAUCCUUCAUUCUAUCCAUCCACCCAUCCUGUCUAUCCAGUUCUAUUCUUCCAUCAUUCUACCCAUCCACCGAUCCAUCCAUCAUUCUAAAGUAUCUGUUUAUCUUUCUAUCUAUUGUUCUAUCAUUCUAUUAUACUAUCGUUCUAUCUAUCCAUCUAUCCGUCAUUCUAUCAAUCCAUCCAUCCAUCCAUCCAUCCAACCAUACACACAUACAUCCAACCAUACAUGCAUACAUACAUACAUACAUACAUCUCUUGCUCUAUUUAUCAUUCU